GCCUGUGUGGCUCAGUGGGUAGAGCGUCAGCCUGCAGAUCCAAGGGUCCCGGGUUCGAUUCCCGGUCAGGGCA
rnacentral:tRNA from 1 species